rnacentral:sRNA from 1 species
AGGCUCCGAUGGCCGGAGGUAAGGGACACCUGGUGAGGAGGUAAGUGGAGGCACCAUUACGAGCUCUGAGGAGUGGCUGCUAGGAGACUUCUGGAAGCCCGGUCCCAGGCCUGAGCCCCAGGCCGUGCGGGUGGUUUAAUGAGGAAGCCCUGGGACAGCCCGGGGGCGGUCAGGGGUGGAUGCUGGACUGGGGAGGCAGGAGGAGGAAGGAGGGCCAGGGCUGGGGUCAAGGAGGAACGCCCGAGGAACGCUGUGGCUGGGGCCUGGAGAAACUCAGUGGCCCAGAGGAGCCCCAGACAGGGGCCUGCUGGGAGCCAGGGCUGGCCCCCCUACACCCAGCCCCCACCGCUGUUCCCUCCCACCACCCCAACCCCAGCACUCAGCCCACGCCUGCUGUACCUGGUCUCUCUCUCAGCCUCGCUCCAUUGCUAUGCCCCACGUCCCCUGCACCCACCACACUCCUCUCCCAUCUUGUUUUCCAAGGGCAGGGACACAUGCUUAUUUUGCCGUGUGUUGGGUUCAGGUCCCCCCAUCCUCGGGCUGCCUGACCUUCUCUCUCCACCCCAGCCCUGAACAGGAAGGAGAGUUUCUUGCUCCUCUCCCUGCACAACCGCCUGCGCAGCUGGGUCCAGCCCCCUGCGGCUGACAUGCGGAGGCUGCUCGUGUGGGCCACCUCAAGCCAGCUGGGCUGUGGGCGGCACCUGUGCUCUGCAGGCCAGACAGCGAUAGAAGCCUUUGUCUGUGCCUACUCCCCCGGAGGCAACUGGGAGGUCAACGGGAAGACAAUCGUCCCCUAUAAGAAGGGUGCCUGGUGUUCGCUCUGCACAGCCAGUGUCUCAGGCUGCUU